rnacentral:rRNA from 1 species
UUGCCCUAGUAACGGCGAGUGAAGCGGCAACAGCUCAAAUUUGAAAUCUGGCGUCUUUGGCGUCCGAGUUGUAAUUUGCAGAGGGCGCUUUGGCAUUGGCAGCGGUCCAAGUUCCUUGGAACAGGACGUCACAGAGGGUGAGAAUCCCGUACGUGGUCGCUAGCCUUUACCGUGUAAAGCCCCUUCGACGAGUCGAGUUGUUUGGGAAUGCAGCUCUAAAUGGGAGGUAAAUUUCUUCUAAAGCUAAAUACUGGCCAGAGACCGAUAGCGCACAAGUAGAGUGAUCGAAAGAUGAAAAGCACUUUGGAAAGAGAGUUAAAAAGCACGUGAAAUUGUUGAAAGGGAAGCGCUUGCAGCCAGACUUGCCUGUAGUUGCUCAUCCGGGUUUUUACCCGGUGCACUCUUCUAUAGGCAGGCCAGCAUCAGUUUGGGCGGUUGGAUAAAGGUCUCUGUCAUGUACCUCUCUUCGGGGAGAACUUAUAGGGGAGACGACAUGCAACCAGCCUGGACUGAGGUCCGCGCAUCUGCUAGGAUGCUGGCGUAAUGGCUGUAAGCGGCCCGUCUUGAAACACGGACCAAGGAGUCUAACAUCUAUGCGAGUGUUUGGGUGUCAAGCCCGAGCGCGUAAUGAAAGUGAACGGAGGUGGGAACCUUUCGGGGUGCACCAUCGACCGAUCCUGAUGUCUUCGGAUGGAUUUGAGUAAGAGCAUAGCUGUUGGGACCCGAAAGAUGGUGAACUAUGCUUGAAUAGGGUGAAGCCAGAGGAAACUCUGGUGGAGGCUCGCAGCGGUUCUGACGUGCAAAUCGAUCGUCAAAUUUGGGCAUAGGGGC